rnacentral:rRNA from 1 species
AUUGAACGCUGGCGGCAGGCCUAACACAUGCAAGUCGAGCGGAUGAAGGGAGCUUGCUCCUGGAUUCAGCGGCGGACGGGUGAGUAAUGCCUAGGAAUCUGCCUGGUAGUGGGGGAUAACGUCCGGAAACGGGCGCUAAUACCGCAUACGUCCUGAGGGAGAAAGUGGGGGAUCUUCGGACCUCACGCUAUCAGAUGAGCCUAGGUCGGAUUAGCUAGUUGGUGGGGUAAAGGCCUACCAAGGCGACGAUCCGUAACUGGUCUGAGAGGAUGAUCAGUCACACUGAAACUGAGACACUGUCCAGACUCCUACGGGAGGCAGCAGGGGGGAAUAGUGGACGAUGGGCGAAAGUCUGAUCCAGCCAUGCCGCGUGUGAAGAAGGUCUUCGGAUUGUAAAGCACUUUAAGUUGGGAGGAAGGGCAGUAAGUUAAUACCUUGCUGUUUUGACGUUACCAACAGAAUAAGCACCGGCUAACUUCGUG